GGAAAGAAUUGUCUAUUGGUAAGACUAAUUGACCUGCUAAGUCAAUAGCGAAUUUCGUUUAAGAGUUCGAUUCUCUUUCUUUCCU
rnacentral:tRNA from 1 species